rnacentral:rRNA from 1 species
AAAGGGUGCGUAGGUGGCGAUGUAAGUCUGAUGUGAAAUUUCGGAGCUCAACUCCGAAACUGCAUUGGAUACUGCGUUGCUAGAGGAUUGUAGAGGAGAGUGGAAUUCACGGUGUAGCAGUGAAAUGCGUAGAUAUCGUGAGGAAGACCAGUUGCGAAGGCGACUCUCUGGGCAAUUCCUGACACUGAGGCACGAAGGCUAGGGGAGCAAACGGGAUUAGAUACCCUAGU